AUUGAACGCUGGCGGCAUGCCUUACACAUGCAAGUCGAACGGUAACAGGUUAAGCUGACGAGUGGCGAACGGGUGAGUAAUGCAUCGGAAUGUGACCAGUCGUGGGGGAUAACACUUAGAACGAAGCGCUAAUACCGCAUACGAUGGAAGGAUGAAAGCGGGGGACCGUAAGUGCUCGCGCCGUUGGAGCGGCCGAUGUCGGAUUAGGUAGUCGGUGGGGUAAAGGCUCACCAAGCCGACGAUCGGUAGCUGGUCUGAGAGGCCGACCGGCCACACUGGGACUGAGACACGGCCCAGACUCCUACGGGAGGCAGCAGUGGGGAAUUUUGGGCAAUGGGCGCAAGCCUGAUCCAGCAAUGCCGCGUGCAGGAAGAAGGCCUUCGGGUUGUAAACUGCUUUUGUACGGGGCGAAAAGGCUCUCUCUAAUACAGGGGGCUGAUGACGGUACCGUAAGAGUAAGCACCGGCUAACUACGUGCCAGCAGCCGCCGUAA
rnacentral:rRNA from 1 species